rnacentral:rRNA from 1 species
AUUGAACGCUGGCGGCAUGCUUUACACAUGCAAGCCGAACGGUAACAGGGUGCUUGCACCGCUGACGAGUGGCGAACGGGUGAGUAAUGCGUCGGAACGUGCCGAGUAGUGGGGGAUAACGCAGCGAAAGUUGUGCUAAUACCGCAUACGUACUGAGGUAGAAAGUGGGGGACCUUCGGGCCUCACGCUAUUCGAGCGGCCGACGUCUGAUUAGCUAGUAGGUGAGGUAAAGGCUCACCUAGGCGACGGUCAGUAGCGGGUCUGAGAGGAUGAUCCGCCACACUGGGACUGAGGCACGGCCCAGACUCCUACGGGAGGCAGCAGUGGGGAAUUUUGGACAAUGGGCGAAAGCCUGAUCCAGCCAUGCCGCGUGUCUGAAGAAGGCCUUCGGGUUGUAAAGGACUUUUGUCAGGGAGGAAAUCCCUAGUGCUAAUAUCACUGGGGGAUGACAGUACCUGAAGAAUAAGCACCGGCUAACUACGUGCCAGCAGCCGCAGUAA